GGGCGCGUAGCUCAGCUGGUCAGAGCGCACGGUUCACAUCCGUGAGGUCACUGGUUCAAGUCCAGUCGUGCCCACCU
rnacentral:tRNA from 1 species